AGGUAGGUCCCUGGCUGCCUGUGUGUGCUGUAAUCAAGGAGGCGUUUCCACCGCUUCUAUGGCUGCGGAUUUAAACCCUUUAAAUUUCUAGGGUCAGGGAUCAGAGGUUCCAGUCAGGUACUGUGGAAUACGGAGAGCUAGAACACCAAGAUGUGGGACCCUAACAUAUGUCUAGAAUUUGAAUAGUUCCCAAAGAAAAAGAGCCCAAUGCCAUCCUCUGAGGCUGAACCAAAAUGGGAGGGAGGUGUGUGGAGCUGUACUUUGGAUCUUGCUAUGGACUGCCGUAGGUUGUCUGUGGUGAGGAGCUGUAGGAUGAGAGUCUUCCUGUGGUAUGGGUCUAUAGGGAGUGAGAGGCUGUGUGCUGGGCAAGUGUAUGUAUACUGAUGGGCUGUGUGUGCUGAGGGCUUGUGUGGUGAUCGGCUGUGUACUUCUGAGGGGCUAUGUGUGGUGAGGGCUUGUGUGGUGAUCGGCUGUGUAUGUCUGAGGGGCUGGGUGUGCUGAUAGUCUGUGUACCAAAGGCUUAGGAGUAAGGAUCUGUACACUAAUUUCUGCACCUGUGUCUGAGGACGCCACCUCUGCUCCUGGCCCUGGCCCUCUUGCCCAAUGGGAAGCUCAUUCUCUGAAUGGACAAGACUCCAGAAGUUGAAAGAGACUCUGAAGUCCACCAGGAUUUCUCUGUGUAAUAGUCCUGGCUGUCCUGGAACUCGAAGAGAUCUAUGUGCUCCUGCGUCCCAAGUGCUCAAAGUGAUCAAAGGCGAGCUCCACCCUGCCAGGCUCCCUGCAGAGCACUUUCAGUACCUGAGAUGACUUUGCUUAACUUUUGCUGUGCCCCCAGAGAAGACCAGAAGCUCCAAGAGGUCCCAGUCACAACCCUGGAAGCUGAAGGCAUCCUGUGUUCUGUCAGCCUCUACCCCAGUCUUCCUCUCUCGUGGCUCUCUAGUAGCUGAAGGGGAAGUAGCCACCGUGGAGCCACCUCACACCCUUGAAGAUGCCCACCCCCUGAAAUUCUGCUCCAGCAUAAGCUGGUGAAGUAGGCCGGUAGAUGUUCUGAGCUGAAGAGCUGGUGAGAACCCCCUGUUUCAUCUCAUCUGAGAAAUACUCUGAGAAAUACUUGUCCGUAAAGGAUCCCAUAGCCCACAGCACAGCUGUCUGAAACAUCAAGAUGGUGUCACAGAAACAGGGAUACCAUAUCUGACAAUCUUGCCCUGUUAAGAGCUUCCUCUAGGGUACAGAGACACUAAAAAUUGCCCUCAGAGAGAACAGUGCUUCUCUUCCUAUUGCUGGGAAGCCAGCAAAGUAUACAGCCCUUCCAGCACGACCUCAGCAUCAAGUAAUGACCUUGCUGUGCCUGCGCUUUUGGGCUAACAAGACUGAAGGCCAACCAAACCUUUUUGAAGAAAUGACAUUUCUCCUUCCUGUUUAACUAGGGCCUUUGGAAGAGCGUGUGACUUCUUACAGCAACUCCCGGGGGUUCGCUGGGCAGCCAGUCUAGCUGAAAGAGCUCAAGGUUCAUUGAGAGGCACUGUCUCAAAGAAAUAGGCAGAGAGCAAAAAAGGAAGAUGCCCAAUGUUCGAUUCUAACCCACAGGUGUCCUGCACACAUACACAUAAGUGAACCCGCAUAUACAUAUGCGCAUGCACAGGUGUGCACAGAGUGGGGGGGGGACAAAAGAGGUCCAGAGAAAGGUCCCUGUGGUGAGCCUCUCUACUCCCCAAAUGGGGUCCCGGGUUUCAGCUAGAGCCUAUUUGUUGGGAGUCACCCUGGUGUGUACUAAGGCCCCAAGACACAGAGCAAAGCCCACCAGAUUGGGUCUAGCAGUAGAAGUCUAGUGUCCUACUAUGUAGUCCAAGCCAGCUUCAAACCUGUGACCCUCCUGCCUCAGUUUCCUCAGCGCUGGGAUUUCAGGCAUGCACCUACACCUGCUUCUACCUGUUGCUUCUUCUAUUCUUGCUCAAAUCUUUACCAGGUGCCUACUAUAAGUGUCCUGACAGGAAGAUAUUCUAAAGAGAUGCUUGUGCCCUCCCUUAGACUAUCAGAUUGAAACUGGUUCUCAGAGCGUCUUCCCAGGGGACUCAUGCUGGGAGAAAGAGAAUGCUGAAGCCUGGUGCCUGCUACAGGUGUCUUCUAGGAACAGAAUUCACACAGUUCUGACAACCUCUCAGGCUACUUGCAGGAAAGACAGCAAGACUAGAGGAGGCAGGACCACACAUACCUCCUGCAUUCUUUAAAGCUCUUGUUAGAGACACGGGUGAAGGCUAGGGGUUACUGGAUCUCUCUGUUUGACCCUCACUGAAUACAUCAUCCUCUGAUUUACUAUAAGUUGUCUACUAGGUUUGUUGAGGACAGGUAGCCAAGGCUAGCUCCAGCAGAGCCAAGUCUCUGACACUGACAACUCCAGUAAUCUACUAUAUGCUACAAAGAAGCCAGAAUGUCAGAUUCCUGCCCUCUGACCUGUCACAAUGGCCACUCUGGGGUUAGAGAGAGAAGCUUUGCUCUAAUGUGCCCUCCUUCACAAGAACUGGAUAGCUAAAAGCAGGCUGCAACCUCUAAUGGAACUCUCCGGAAGCUUGAGGGACCUUGCAGGGUAUUUAAAGAGGAAAGGGUUGCCUCUUCCUUAUAGCCACUGGCUGGUCAUGAAAUCAAUUUACUUAUUCUAAAAAAGGCGACAUGGGGCUGGAGAGAUGGCUCAGCGGUUAAGAGCACUGACUGCUCUUCCAGAGGUCAUGAGUUCAAUUCCCAGCAACCACAUGGUGGCUCACAACCAUCUGUAAUGAGAUCUGGUGCCCUCUUCUGGCCUGCAGUCACAUAUGCAGGCAGAAUGCUAUACGUAAAAUAAAUAAUUUAAUAAAAAAAAAAAAAAAAAAAAAAAGAAAGGCGACAGCAGGAUGGCUCGGGGUAAAGACGCCUUCUGCCAAGUCUGAGGAUUUGAGUUCAGUCCCUGGGCCGCACAUGGUGAAAGGAGCACACGGGUUCCUGAUAGUCGUCUUCUGACAUCCACACAUGUGCCACAGCACAGGGGUGACAUGUGCAUACAAAUAAAUCAACCAAUAAUACAAAUUUAAAUUUAAAAGAAGAAUAAAACACCAGGGUCUGUUUAAGAAGUCAGGGUUGGGGUGCCUUCCUGAAGCUAAUGUUUCAAGUGGAUGCCUGAAUCUGACAUUAUAGCGUGGAUCAUAUUUCUCCCUGUGGUUUAGUUAAAAUAAUUUGGGGGGAAAUAUAUCUAAGUUGUACCCCAGAGUAACUGAACUCCAUCUCUACAUCCUGAGGCUGGUUCACCAUGCCCACAAGCUCAGAUUUAGUACCCUGUGUCCCCAAGGGGAGAGAAGUACCCUGGUCAUCACACUGAUAUUAAAAGUCUGAAGACAUUUCUAAAAUUAAUGCCUGCUACUAUCUCUUCCUCCUCUUCUUCCUCCUCUUCCUUUUCUUCCUCCUCCUCUUCUUCAUCCUCAUCCUCUUUAUCUUCCUCCUCUCCCCCCUCCUCCUCAAUUUUGGGACUCAAACCUGAGGCCUAGCAAAUGCUAAGCUCACACUGUCUGAAAGCCCUAACCCUAGCUCCAUGUCAAGAGUCUUGGAGUCCCACAAUCCCCUGGUAAAAUGAUCUUUGUCUCUAGUUCUGUAUAUUUAUUAAAUAACUAAACAGACCUGCUUUCUUUUAAACAUAUUUGGACCUACCACCAGGUCCCAGUCACAACCCUGGAAGCUGAAGGCAUCCUAUUUUCUGUCAACCUCCACCCUAGUCUUCCCCUCUCACUCUCUAGUAGCUGAAGGGGAAGUAGCCACCAUGGAGCUAUUCCUGUUGUGAUGAGAAUUUCUGAGCAUUCAAUACCUGCAGAGCCCUGGUAAUCCCUUCCUUACCUAGUGGAAUCCCCCCCCCACCAUCCCCUAAAUGGACAGAACCAUCACUUUCAUAACUCAGAGGUCACAUGUACCCGUGACCAUAGUGUUUGUAAGCCUCUGUGUCUGAACUAGACGCAGGUGCUCCCUCACCAUUGCCUAAGGAUCUGGUGAGCCCACCAGAAAGGUCCUUGCAAAGGCCACAUCACACUUCCCGAAGCAAGAUCUGGACCAUUCACUGGGGCUGUCAGCUCACGUUCUUUGGAAGGCUCUUUAAUGCAUAGCAUUCGUGUCUGUCUUGUCACUAUGGAGGGAGUCCAUCGCUGGGGACAAGGUCCCACAGACACUGUCUCACUCCCCAGUUGUGUAGAGGUACUCACUGAGAAAGAAUUCUCCCCACGCUGCGCAGGGGAAGGGAGUUAAGACACCUGCAGAAAUUCCCACUGCUCCUGCAGACAGGAGUACCACCAAGUGCCUCUAAAUGUCACCCCUGGAGUCAUGUCAAGGGCCAGAGGUGAAGCUAGUCUUCAAGUUCCCUCCUUGCCUUCUCUUCAACUUUCAUUCCUCCUACAGAGUACAGAGUGCCCACCAUGCCUCUUUACAAGGAGCAUAGUCUCUGGAGGUCAAGGACAGGCUUAGCCUCCAGAGCACCUCUCUGUUUCACAAACCUGCAUCUGGUUGGAUGAGCUCAGACUCACUGUGUAGCAAUGGAGUUAGAACACAGAUUUUACAGGCCUCUCUGCUUUCCCCUCAGCUCCUUUCUCCUAAGACCUGGCACCUUUUAAGUCUGUUUUCCAUGUGGUUUGGAUCGGUUUCUGGUACCAUCUUGCUCAGCUAUUAGUCCUGGGACAGUCUCCAAUAGAAGCCAUCGUGACAGGGCUGGUGGGAUGGCUCAGCGCUUAGAGUGCCGGCUGCUCCUCCAAGGGUUCAAUGAUCAGUUCCCACAUGACAGCUCACAACUGCCUAUAACUCCCAUUCCAGGAGAUCUGACACUUUCACAUAGACAUACAUGCAGGGAAAACACCAAUGUACAGAAAAUACAAAUGAAUUCUCUUAAAAAGGAAAGAAACUACAGUGACACCACCCAGAACCCUCCCACACACCAAGAAAAUGCACUGGGAGCUGGGUGCUGGGCGCUGGGCGCUGGGCGCUGGGUGCUGGACGCUGGGCGCUGGGCGCUGGAUGCUGGGCGCUGGAUGCUGGGUGCUGGGUGCUGGGCACUGGGCGCUGGGCGCUAGGUGCUGGUUUCAGCACAUCUCCCUCACCACUCUCUCUCCCUACUACAAAUCCUACUGUCAUAGAGGAGAAAAUGUUGACUCACCCUGCCAGCAAGGCUAAGUAUCCAUGGACCAAAAUGAGGACGAUCAGGGGCUCGAGGCACUUGGGCACUUGUAAUUUUUAUUACUAAAGUGAGUGAUACCUGAGACGACGGUUACAGGCCCACCUGGGGAACACCUGGUGUUAUGUCUUAUGACUAUUAUGUCUGGUCAUGUGAAGGCGCCGAGACCCUCCCUGGCUUGGCUUUUCCCAUGGAGAUAACAUAGGCAGGCCAGGGCACUCCUUUCUCAGCCUUGCUUUCAAGUGUAUCCACUUAUCACAGUUUAUGCAACUCUUUCCAGAAGGUUCCCAUGUGGAAAGAACAUUCUGCAUUCUGCCCCAUCCGAACACACCCCGAACUGCACAGCUUCUCAUGCAGGUUUCCACAAGUAUGCUGUCAUGGGGGGCAGGAGAAUAGCCCUUCCGUCAGGAAAGCUCCUGGGGAUUGGAGAGAUGACUCAGCGGUUAAGAAUACUUGUUUUUACAGAGGACACAGGUUUAUUCCCAGCACACCAAAUGGUGGCUUACAACCAUCUAUAACUCCAGUUCCAAAAAAAGUACCACACCCUCUUCUGACUUCUGCAAGCACCAGGCAUACACACAGCACACAUACAUACACACAGGCAAAAACACCCAUGCACAUGAAACAAAACAUUUUUUUUUAAAUGUCAGAAAAAGGGGUUGGGGAUUUAGCUCAGCGGUAGAGCGCUUGCCUAGCAAGCGCAAGGCCCUGGGUUUGAUCCCCAGCUCCGAAAAAAAGAAAAUAAAUAAAU